GUGCCAGCCGCCGCGGUAAUACCGGCAGCUCAAGUGAUGUCCCAUAUUAUUGGGCCUAAAGCGUCCGUAGCUGGCCGACCAAGUCUCCCGGGAAAUCCACCCGCCCAACGGGUGGGCGUCCGGUAGAAACUGGCCGGCUUGGAACCGGAAGGCUCAGAGAGUACGUCCGGGGUAGGAGUGAAAUCCCGUAAUCCUGGACGGACCACCGAUGGCGAAAGCACCUUGGAAGGACGGAUCCGACAGUGAGGGACGAAAGCUAGGGUCUCGAACCGGAUUAGAAACCCCUGUAGUCC
rnacentral:rRNA from 1 species